AACACAGCGCAACUCGGCGCUGCGCGGGUGCGCAUCCCUCUGCCCCUCUCAUCCCUCCGCGCAGCCUCAGCGCCGCGGAGCCGGGGACGCCCGUCUCCUGAGAACAUUUUUUUCUGAGUGAUUCCAGCUUCCAGACAUUUGCCAUGAUAAGGGUUUCGAUCCUUUCCCAUAUUUGCCCUGAGUCAUGAGUGGAUAUGUGUGAUGCCUGCAAGUAAAACUGGAAGCUUAAAAUCAAAUUUGGCAGAGCUUACAAGGGCAGCGAACGCGGAGCCACUUGACUCUGGAGAAAGGCAGUGACAGUGCAGAGCUCUGAAGCUCUCCAAUGCAUGUGCCGCCUGGGAUGGGGAGCAGAGCCAGCAGAACUCUACCAUGGUGACUUUCCCUCCUGAAACCAGCAGCAUAUUUGUUCUUCUUUUUAACAAAACUACCUGAGAAGUUGAAGUGUUUCCUUCCUUCUGAAUGC
rnacentral:lncRNA from 1 species